CCUACGGGCGGCAGCAGUAGGGAAUCUUCGGCAAUGGGGGCAACCCUGACCGAGCAACGCCGCGUGAGUGAAGAAGGUUUUCGGAUCGUAAAGCUCUGUUGUAAGUCAAGAACGAGUGUGAGAGUGGAAAGUUCACACUGUGACGGUAGCUUACCAGAAAGGGACGGCUAACUACGUGCCAGCAGCCGCGGUAAUACGUAGGUCCCGAGCGUUGUCCGGAUUUAUUGGGCGUAAAGCGAGCGCAGGCGGUUUGAUAAGUCUGAAGUUAAAGGCUGUGGCUCAACCAUAGUUCGCUUUGGAAACUGUCAAACUUGAGUGCAGAAGGGGAGAGUGGAAUUCCAUGUGUAACGGUGAAAUGCGUAGAUAUAUGGAGGAACACCGGUGGCGAAAGCGGCUCUCUGGUCUGUAACUGACGCUGAGGCUCGAAAGCGUGGGGAGCGAACAGGAUUAGAUACCCCAGUAGUC
rnacentral:rRNA from 1 species